AGAGUUGUAGCUCAGCGGUAGAGUGCUUGCCUUGCAUGUGUGAGGCACUGGGUUUGAAUCUCAGCACUUCAU
rnacentral:tRNA from 1 species